UACGUAGGGGGCAAGCGUUGUCCGGAUUUAUUGGGCGUAAAGAGCGUGUAGGCGGCUUUACAGGUCCGUUGUGAAAACUCGAGGCUCAACCUCGAGACGCCGGUGGAAACCGUAAGGCUAGAGUCCGGAAGAGGAGAGUGGAAUUCCUGGUGUAGCGGUGAAAUUCGUAGAUAUUAGGAAGAACACCGGUGGCGAAGGCGGCCCAACUGGUCCGGUACUGACGCUGAGGUGCGAAAGCGUGGGGAGCAAACAGG
rnacentral:rRNA from 1 species